rnacentral:rRNA from 1 species
CCUACGGGUGGCAGCAGUGGGGGAUAUUGCACAAUGGGGGAAACCCUGAUGCAGCGACGCCGCGUGUGGGAAGACGGUCCUCUGGAUUGUAAACCCCUGUCGCCAGGGACGAAGCUGACGGUAUCUGGGGCGGAAGCUCCGGCUAACUACGUGCCAGCAGCCGCGGUAAUCCGUAGGGAGCGAGCGUUGUCCGGAAUUACUGGGUGAAAAGGGAGCGUAGGCGGGACUGCAAGUUGGGUGUCAAAUCUACCGGCUCAACCGGUAGCCGCACUCAAAACUGCAGUUCUUGAGUGAAGUAGAGGCAGGCGGAAUUCCUAGUGUAGCGGUGAAAUGCGUAGAUAUUAGGAGGAACACCAGUGGCGAAGGCGGCCUGCUGGGCUUGUACUGACGCUGAGGCUCGAAAGUGUGGGGAGCAAACAGGAUUAGAUACCCCAGUAGUC